GGAAAAGAAACUAACCAGGAUUCCCCCAGUAGCGGCGAGCGAAGCGGGAAAAGCCCAAGGCCGGAAUCCCGCUCCCCACAAGGGGGCGGGAGUUGUAGCCUAUGGACGCGCCGAUCGACCUCGAUACAAGCAGACCAAGUCCCUUGGAACAGGGCGCCAGAGAGGGUGAUAGCCCCGUCCGUCUGCUCGUGUAGAGGCCAUUCUGACGGCGCGGUCCGAGAGUCGGGUUGUUUGGGAAUGCAGCCCGAAGCGGGAGGUAAGCGCCUUCCAAGGCUAAAUAUUCUGGCGAGAGACCGAUAGCGAACAAGUACUGUGAAGGAAAGUUGAAAAGCACUCUGGAGAGAGAGUGAAAAGAACGUGAAACCAUGUGUAGGGAAGCGCUUGCACGGGGCACUGCUCCGUAGUCUCCGCAAGGGGGCUGCGGACGCCCAGCACCAGUUUGGGCUGCCGGACAAGCGGCGGGCAAAGGUAGGGCAUCUCCCUCGGGGGGCGUCUGUUACAGGGCCCGCUGCGCUGCGGUGGCCUGGACUGAGGAACGCGGCCACUCCCGUAGUUGGGGGCGUGGGUGUUGGCUGGGGGUUGCCGGCGGGCGCCGGGCGAGACAGCAUGCUGACUCGUCUGGCGGUCGUUGGCCUCGCCUCAGCCAGCUCCACUAUGGCCAUGGGUUUGCUGGGAAGCGCCGAACAAGCGACCCGUCUUGAACCACGG
rnacentral:rRNA from 1 species